GCCGAGAUAGCUCAGUGGUAGAGCGCUUGCCUGAAGAGCAAGGCGUCGGCAGUUCAAUUCUGCCUCUCGGCACCA
rnacentral:tRNA from 1 species